rnacentral:rRNA from 1 species
UACGUAGGGUGCAAGCGUUAUCCGGAAUUAUUGGGCGUAAAGAGCUCGUAGGCGGUUUGUCGCGUCUGCUGUGAAAACCCGAGGCUCAACCUCGGGCCUGCAGUGGGUACGGGCAGACUAGAGUGCGGUAGGGGAGAUUGGAAUUCCUGGUGUAGCGGUGGAAUGCGCAGAUAUCAGGAGGAACACCGAUGGCGAAGGCAGAUCUCUGGGCCGUAACUGACACUGAGGCGCGACAGCGUGGGGAGCAAACAGG